UUAAUACUCCUUCCAUCCGGAAAUACUUGUAGUAAAAAUGGAUACAAAUGAAUGUAUUUAGAACUAAAAUACAUCUAGAUAUAUCCAUUCAUUGGACAAGUGUUUCCCGGAUGGAGGGAGUACAAG
rfam:Triticum aestivum genome assembly, contig: Triticum_aestivum_CS42_TGACv1_scaffold_288518_4AL